AUGGACAUGUUAACUGCCUUCCUCUUCAUAGCAAUAUCCAUCACAGAAUCCAGUGGUCAGACACUGACUGAGUCUGAGUCAGUGGUUCUUAAACCUGGAAACUCCCACAAACUGACCUGCACAUACUCUGGGUUCAGCAGCGAUCCUAACAUGGCUUGGGGAAGAUUCACCAUCUCUAGAGACAACAGCAAGAAGCAGGUGUAUCUGCAGAUGAACAGCCUGAAGACCGAGGACACGGCUGUGUAUUACUGUGCCAGACAGUCACAGUGGCACAAUAUGCUGCAGAGAUGA